rnacentral:rRNA from 1 species
AUGAAGUUGGAAUCGCUAGUAAUCGCGGAUCAGAAUGCCGCGGUGAAUACGUUCCCGGGUCUUGUACACACCGCCCGUCACACCAUGGGAGUCGGAAAUGCCCGAAGUCGGUGACCCAACCGCAAGGAGGGAGCCGCCGAAGGCAGGUCCGGUAACUGGGGUGAAGUCGUAACAAGGUACC